AUGUUGUCUCUAACCGAUUUACCACUAUCGUUUUGGGGUUAUGCAUUAGAGAUAGCUGCAUUCAUGUUUAAUAGGGCACCAAAUAAAUCCGUUGAGAUGACAUCGUAUGAAAUAUGGUUUGGCAAGAAACCAAAGCUGUCGUUCCUUAAAGUUUGGGGUUGCGAUGCUUAUGUGAAAAAGUUUCAGCCUGAUAAGCUCGAACACAAAUUGGAGAAGUGUGUCUUCAUAGGAUACCCAAAAGAAACUGUCGGUUAUUCCUUCUAUCACAGAUUUGAAGGCAAGAUCUUCGUUUCUGAGAAUGGAUCCUUUCUAGAGAAGGAGUUUCUCUCGAAAGAAAUGAGUGGGAGGAAAGUAGAACUUGAUGAGGUAAUUGUACCUUCUCUCGAAUUGGAAAGUAGCUCAUCACAAAAAGUCGUUCCCGUGAUGCCUACACCAACUAGAGAGGAAGCUAAUGAUAAUGAUCAUGAAACUUCAGAUCAAGUUACUACCGAACCUCGUAGGCCAACCAGAGUACAUUCUGCACCAGAGUGUUACGGUAAUCCUAUUAUGGACGUCAUGUUACUAGACUAUGAUGAACCUACGAACUAUGAGGGCGCGAUGAUGAACCCAGAUUCCGCAAAAUGGCUUGAGGAAAUGAAAUCUGAGAUAGGAUCCAUGUAUGAGACCAAAGUAUGGACUUUGGUGGAUGAUACGUCUCCAACGUAUCUAUAA
rnacentral:rRNA from 1 species